rnacentral:rRNA from 1 species
ACUACCCGCUGAACUUAAGCAUAUCAAUAAGCGGAGGAAAAGAAACCAACAGGGAUUGCCUCAGUAACGGCGAGUGAAGCGGCAAAAGCUCAAAUUUGAAAUCCCCCGGGAAUUGUAAUUUGAAGAGAUUUGGGUCCGGCCGGCAGGGGUUAAGUCCACUGGAAAGUGGCGCCACAGAGGGUGACAGCCCCGUGAACCCCUUCAACGCCCUCGUCCCAGAUCUCCAAGAGUCGAGUUGUUUGGGAAUGCAGCUCUAAGUGGGUGGUAAAUUCCAUCUAAAGCUAAAUACCGGCGAGAGACCGAUAGCGAACAAGUACAGUGAUGGAAAGAUGAAAAGCACUUUGAAAAGAGAGUGAAAAAGUACGUGAAAUUGUUGAAAGGGAAGGGCUUGCAAGCAGACACUUAACUGGGCCAGCAUCGGGGCGGCGGGAAACAAAACCACCGGAGAAUGUACCUCUCGAGGAUUAUAACCCCGGUCUCAAUUUCCUCACCACCCCGAGGCCUGCAAUCUAAGGAU